ACGUUGUGGUUGUUUGAAAGAACAAACAGGACGACGCAGUUUGUUUCAGCUGAAGUCCGAGUGUGUGAAAUGUGUGAAAAGUGUGUUUUUGUGAUUCUGGGACUCCUGCUGCUGACCUGCACACCUUUACAGGGUUCUGUUGAUGUGACUCCUGUAUUUGUGCAGACGGGAGGAGACGUCCUUCUGGAUGGACACAAACCUUCUGUCCUUGAAGAUGGCUUUGUUUUUUCAUGGAUAAUUAAUGACACAAAUAUAAUAAGAUUUUUACCUCCUCGUGAACCAAUUUUUCAUAAGUCAUAUGAAGAAAGAUGGAGCGCCUUGGGGCAACUGUUUGUUGUGAUUUGGCGCUAUAUAAGAAAAAAGUUGAUUGAUUGAUUGAUUGAUUGAUUGAGUUUACUGCAGAAAACUUCUCUUUGCUUUUGAAGGAUCUACAGAAAGCCGACAGUGGACUUUAUGUUGGUUUUAUUCAAGGGGAUAAAGAUAGAAUAACAGCACAAUACAACGUCAUAGUUGUUGAUCCGGUGUCUCCAGUUGUCCUGCAGGUGGACUCUGUCUCCAACACGUCUGUCUCCUGUGACGUCACUCUGACCUGCAGCACAAACGACUCUGACAUCAUCAUCCUCAGCGCCAACUUCACAUGU